rnacentral:rRNA from 1 species
GUCCACGCCCUAAACGAUGUCAACUAGUUGUUGGUAGGGUUAAACCUAUUAGUAACGUAGCUAACGCGUGAAGUUGACCGCCUGGGGAGUACGGUCGCAAGAUUAAAACUCAAAGGAAUUGACGGGGACCCGCACAAGCGGUGGAUGAUGUGGAUUAAUUCGAUGCAACGCGAAAACCUUACCUACCCUUGACAUGUCAAGAAUCCCUGAGAGAUUAGGGAGUGCCGCAAGGAACUUGAACACAGGUGCUGCAUGGCUGUCGU